AAAACUUCAGUUGUACAUUUGUUCAUGACAUUCAUCAAAGCUCAGAAUCAUGUGUUUCUUUCAGUAGGAGGAGUUCUUUAAUUAAUUAUUUAUUUUUGAUAUUAUUAUUUUCUCUUAUAAGAAUUUUUGUGUCCUUCAGUCUUUUUGUUAAACAUCUGUACUGCCUAUUUUAUAUAGAUAACUUGCAUUACACCUCACUCAAG
rnacentral:misc_RNA from 1 species